rnacentral:lncRNA from 1 species
GCGCACGGGAGAAAGUACUUGCUUCCGGCGAUGUGGGACCCGAAAACAUCUGCCUGCUCCACACUGGUUUGAACCAUGGUUUGAGAGGAGAGAGAAAGUGAUGGCAUAUAUGUGUCCGUAGAUUCUUAUACAUACAUAGGGUAUUUUGGGAAGUAAUAUUGUAUUAGUACAUCCUCAAGUUUGUUGUUUUGUGUGAAGAAAUUUGUAAAUUGUGUUCCUUUGAUGAAAAUGUAAAGUGUAUUCAAUAAAUACUCAUGCUUUUUAUACUAAACAGUCUAAACCUUGGAUCAUAGAUGUAAGAAACGGAUAUGAAGUUCAUUUUAGGGUAAAAUAAUUAAUUGAUUAAUAUAGUAUUAAUAUAUAGAAAGAAAUUAUUUUUUGAUUUACGUGUUAAUAAUGUAUUGAUUAAAGUUAAUUUUAUGUUAAUCCCUUGGUGAAAAACAAUUCACCAGUAGCCCCGAUCGAGCAGAAGUCUCGAGGGGACGACGUCGCUGCAUUAGCACUAGUAUGAUCGGCCUGUUAGGAUACCAACUUUUGAAUUUUGUAUUUCCUUUAUACUAAUAAAAUCAAGUUUUUGGCCUUAUAUUACAACAGGUGACACUAAAGAAAGACUUGGCGUUCAAGUGGUAAGUUGUAACCAAUUGAAACAAUAGGAAAAUAAUCUAAAAUUUUUACAAACUUCAGUUGAGUCCUUAAAUAUUUAUUGGGUUUUGAAAAUUAUUUUUGUAUACAUAUAUCAUUAUAUAUAUAUAUAUAUAUAUAUAUAUAUAUAUAUAAUUGGGACUGCCGAUCAUGAUAAUCGAUAUUAUGUGCAUAUUAUAAUAUGUCAAUAAAAAAUUUGGAGAGAUAUAAUUUUUAUUCCUCCAAUCCUAUAUAUCUAUAUUCACUUUUCAUUAAUAUAACUUUUUAUUACAUUAACUAGAAUAUUAAGAUAGUAUAUUGUUGUGAUGGAGGAUUUAAUAAUAAUAAUAAUAGAAUUGAAUGGGAGAAUCGUUUGGUCCAUGAAAUGUGGGUUCCUUCCAAUAAAUUAGACCUAUUCUUCUAUAACUAGCAGACUAAGACAUUACUAUACCAUUAUUUUCUUUUCUGGCAGCAGGUUUCUGACUUUAAGAUGCAAAAUCAAACACUCUUCCGAUUAAAUUGCAUUUGGUUUCCCGUGUAUAGUGUGUGCGUGGAGUAGAUGGAGUGGGCUUUUCCUAUGAUCAUUGAGUGACCCCGCAAGACAAGAUAUAUUAGUGGAAUAUUAUUUCGUUCCUAUUGCUGUGUCCAGUGAUGAAACCUGCUAAGUAUUUCCAUUCUUGUUAGUAGCGCUAAGUAAGUAUAAUAUUUUCUAUCAUAAUCAAUCGUAUGAGAUGCAUAUUAAACUAUUUAAGACAUUUUAAAGAUAAAUUUGAGAUAAUUAAUACUCCAUCCGUCCCGAUAUAAAAGUCUUUAUUACUAUUUUGGAUAGUCCCAUGUUAAAUGCUCACUUCCCUUUAAUAACCAAAUUUUUACACAUUUUUUCCUAUUAUGCUCGUAGCAUUAAAUAUUUCUUACUUUUCUUAUUCUAAUUCUCUCUCCAUAUUUAAUGACAUUAUUAUAAAUAAUUUUGUCAUUUUAUUCCUCGUCUUUAUCCUGGGAGGGAGUAUUACCUAAUCUUACAACUUUUUUCCUACCCUUGUGAAUUUACAAAUAAAUACCUACAUAUUUAUGUAUAUAUAAUUUGAUCCAAGUGUAAAUUAAUUAGAGGCCAAGCUAGAGACAGCUCACAUCAUAAUAAUUAAGUAUGUGGAAUGGAUGAGUGCGGUGGUGCAGGAGUUAUGUGACAUUUAUAUAUAAUGGUCAUGGUCCCAAAUUAAAUGACAUGAGUCCAAUGUACAUUGUAUAAAUUAGAAUCAUAUACUUUUUAUUUUAUGGAGUAGGGUAGUGAACUAGAACUAAAAAGGGAUAGGUACUACUAGUAUUAUGGAGUAUUAUUUUGGAAAUCAUCCUCCUCCAUUAUUUGUAGUGUUCGUGUGGCUUGACAAGUGCAUGACAUAGUUUUUUGUUGACCAUUUAUUAAAUUCUUGGUACAUGGUGCUGAUAAACAUCCUCACCCAACCUUAUCAACCCCACAAAUGAUUGACAAUUUAAUUAAUAGUAUCCAACUAUUGUAUUAUAAAUCUAUAUAUACAUGCAUCUCUCCCUAUCUCAUACCUGUUUUUCCCUUGACCAAGAAUUGGUUCAACCACAUUAUAUAUAUAUAUAUAUAUAUAUGAAAAAAAUUAUAGUUACACACUUCUGUAAAUUUUAAAUAUACACAAUUUACGAUCGUAGAGUUAAGUCACUGACUGAUAGUAAAGUAAUGACCCUAUUAUUGUAGAAACGUAGAGUGAAUCAUCGGAUAGUAGAGUGAAUGUACUCUACAAUCGUAAAGCAUAGUAGAGUGACUUAAAACUUUACGAUCGUAGACUGUGUACAUUUGGGAGUCUGCAUAGUUGUGUGGCUCUAUUAAACCCUAUAUAUAUUUGAGAUGAUUUUGGUUAAUAAAAGAAAAUAAUAUUGUCAGAUAAAAAUGAUGUUGGCAUAAUAAAUAAAUAUAUAUACCAAUAUUUUUACAUUUGUUCAAGCAAUACUUAAACACUUUUAGCCGUAUUUAUUAUCGUGUAAACAUCAUUUUUACUCUCACAAUAUUAACCAUCAUAAAUUUUAAAAUUUUCAAUUUUCAAAUAUCUAAUUAUCCAUUAAGUGAAAUUGAAUGAAAAGUUUAUUGAAUAAAGCUCAAGUUUAAGGAGAAAGUAUAUAUUUUUCUCUUUAUUUAAAAGAAAAAUAACAUCUAAUGUGACAUACUAGAUAGUAUUGUGAUAUACUAAUAAAAUUAAAAUGACAAAUUUAAAAAUAUUAUAUAUAUUUUAAUAAUGAAUAAUGAUAUUGUAUUAUAUUAUAUUACUAUAACAAAAUUAUGAUAAUAAACUUGAUUUAAAUUAUUUUAUUUUACAACUAAAAAUUAGAAUCUUUUUGUAGAAUAAAAAAAAUUGAGACAAAUUGAAACCAAAGAAGGAAGGAAAAAUUUAUAAAAUUCUCAAAAUAAAAUACCCAAAAAUACAUAUAUUAAUAAUAUGAGUAGCCUUCUUCAACUCUACACUAUUGCUUUUUAUUUGCUGUAAUAUUUUCUUUUUGUAAAAAAAAGUGUCGACUAAGUUAUAGAAUUAAGAAAAUGUAUAUUUUUACGUAUAAUUUUGCUAUUUUUAUAUGUAUUUUUUUAAAAUAAAAAUAAGACUCGUCCUACUUUCUUGUAAAAAAGUAUCCUUUGAAAAUUAUGUGAAAUCAAUCAUGAGUACUAAAUUGAUGUGGGAUAUUAGUUAUAUAUAAAGGACAAAUAAUAGCAGAACAAAAUAAUGGAGCAAAAUGUACGGACGUGGGACAAACCCAAGAAAAGCAUGCUCUGCUUAAGUUAAGCUUAUCCUCUGCUCUGCUUCAUUUUCAUUUGCAACUUGGCACAUAAAAUUGCCAUACUUUUGCCUUUUCUCUUUUUUCCAGAGGGGUCACACCAUAAUCAUCCUACUGUCUAAAACUAUGACACGUGUAUUUUAACUUAUAAAUAAUAUUACUAUCAUAUAAUAAUGAUCACAAAAUUCUGGUAUACACGUAUAUACAUAUUUAUGGGCCCUACAUGUCAGAUAUGACCCCACAAUAUGCAUAUGUGUUAUGUGAUAGUAGCAUUAUUGUUAACUUAUUAUUUAUUUACAGAAAUGAUGAUGAGACGAGACGAGACUGAGAGUAUUUGUAUUAAUUUAUGUGUGGUGAUGUUAUGUAUUAUAAUAAAUUUAUAUUAAAUUAUAAUUACAAAAUUUAUAAAUACACGAAAUCCAUAAAAAUUAUAGAGAGCUUCAAUUAUUAUAGGUUUUAAAAAAAAUAUUAAAUAAAUAAUUUUAUUUUGUACUGUACAUCAUUUUGCAAACAGUAGCGAUAGAGUGAGUAGUGUCAAUUUUCUUGCCGGCAAGCCAUAAAAUGUUGCUUUACGUCAUUUGGGUCGAUCUUUUUGGGACUCACAGCUAGCUAGCUAGCUCGUAAAGGAAAUCUACCCUUUUGGACGGAACCAACUAGUGGCUUUGUGGCCUAAUUUUGACCAAAUGGCUUAAAUAUAUGGGAUGUGCGGGAGUGAGGGGUGGUGGGGGGUGGGGGAGGUUCGAAAUUCGAAUCUGCUGCCGACGUUUACACACGUGAUUCAUGAUGGCAUGCCGAGGUGUGUGUCUAUUGAGGUGAUACAUUACUCCCUACUCNNNNNNNNNNNNNNNNNNNNNNNNNNNNNNNNNNNNNNNNNNNNNNNNNNNNNNNNNNNNNNNNNNNNNNNNNNNNNNNNNNNNNNNNNNNNNNNNNNNNCUACUCCAAUUAAAGGUAAAGGGAGAAAGACAAAAGAUCAUGAGAAGAGGAGAGAGAAUGUUAGACACCUCGAUCAGUUCUUAAUUAGUUGACAUUAAUUAAUUAUUAGUGUUUGAUUUUAAUCUACUUUCUUAUGUGUUAUUAUGAUUGAUUCACAACUUGGAAAACAAAAGUACAAGGAUGUGUGUCAAGUGGGAGUUUAUAAAUUAUAUGUACUUAAUUUCUAUGAACAAAAUACAGUUUCAAACAAGUUUAGUUUACCUUAAAAAAAAAGAGAUAAACCAGAGAUAUAAUCAUAAUUAGUGUUUUUAGUUAUCAUAUUAAGGUUACUCUCUUAUGCUUUUUUUAAAAAAAACUCGUAAAAUUGCAAUUAAAUAAUUUUAAGAGUAUAUUUCAAAACGAGUAAUUCAACUAAAAAACGAGUCGAGUUGAGUCAAACUCAAGUACAAUAAAGCGAGUCGAACUCGAAUCUGAACAAAGAUUACAAAGUUAUAUUCGAAUUCGAGUACGAAUCGGAAUACUUUCAAAAAAUUCCAAUAAAAUUUGUAUAAAGUACUGUUCGACUCAACUUUAGAUCAUUUUCAGCUCUACCGAACAGGGGCAGAGCCACACUUGGGUUGUGGUGGCGCGGUAGCCCUAGUGAAUCUGACGCAAACAACCCCCAUUCGCUCCUACAUCCGCAAUGCUAAGGCCAUGGCGGCGACACCCGCCGACGUGAAGCGGCGAAGGAGUACCACUAAUCACUUCUUCAUCUGAUGAAUGGAGAGAAAGAGAGAGAGAGAGAGAGAGAGAGAGAGAGAGAGAUAGUCUAUGAGCUUAUGCAUAAAAUAUUCUCACACUACUAAAUUACUUUGUUUUCUCUCCAUAAACAAAGAAUUAGCCUAAACUUUUUAGAAACUGAAAUUGAAGAAGAAUAAUUCUCUACGAAUUAAGGUUAGCAAACUGAAUUGGAGAAUGAAUUGGAGCAAGGAAUUGUCACGAGAAGGAAGUAAAAACAAAUUUGAAGCAAGAAUGCAAGGGAUCGCAUCAAUUAAACUUCAAAUUGAGAGGUAAGCCAUGUGUUUUUGUAAGUUCAUAGAAAUUGAAAGUAUACAUAUGAUUGUUGAUAUAAUUGCUAUGCAUGGGUUGUGAAUUAAUGUAAGGGGAGUAUUGUGAAUUAAUGUAAGGGGAGUAUUGUUUAUGUUAUAUGGAGUAAUAAGGAAGGAUUCCAUGAAUUUUUUUGGUUAGAACCCUUCUAAAAUCUUGUGAAAUUCUGGAAUCUAAGUGUUGUAGGCAUGGUGUUUGAAAAUUUACCUCAAAGAGGUUAAAAUGUGUAAAAUUGAGAAUUAGCCAAUGUUCUAGGCUAGGAAGUAUGCAUAUAUGUAUUAGAAGAUAACCUAAUUUAUUUGUUAUGCAAAGAUCCUCUUUGAUCUAUCUUUCGGUAGUCCAGGACGAAAAAAAAUUAUGGCUCCGCCGUUGCUACCAAAAGUUAUCAUAUUUGGUCGAAGAAUAAUCUUACUUUACUUUAACAAUUAGAAAUCGAUAAAUCAAAUAAGAACAAUUAAAUUAAAGUUAUAAUAUAACCAAAUAAUAUAACAAUUAAAAUAAAUUUAAAAAUAUUAUGUCAUUUAUUAACAUAUAAGUAAAUAAUAUAACUAUUUUUUUUUAUUUUUUUUUCAGAAAUUGUGAGAGAAAUGGUAAUGAGCACGGCCCCCAUCUCGUCCUGGUAAUUGGUAAAGGGAGAAAAAUCUAGUAAGGUAUGUCGGUCAGCUGGUGGGCUAUGUGGAGUGGGACGGAAAGUGAAAGUGGGUAUAUUUCAAGGAUCCCCAACCUCACAACUUCUUUCUUUAUUCGUUGUACACACCUAUAUAAAUUAGGGUAUAUAUAUAUAUAUAUAUAUAUAUAUAUAUAUAUAUAUAUAUAUAUAUAUAUGUAUAUAUAUAUAUUAAAAAAGGCCCGACCCUAACCCUAAGAGCUAAGAUUAGAGACCUGGGUCAGAGUUGGGGUCCAAAAUAAAGGUUUAUUCCCGACCCGACCCAACCACGACGGCCAUCUUNNNNNNNNNNNNNNNNNNNNNNNNNNNNNNNNNNNNNNNNNNNNNNNNNNNNNNNNNNNNNNNNNNNNNNNNNNNNNNNNNNNNNNNNNNNNNNNNNNNNUUGAUAUUUUUACACGCAAAGUGUCUCUGUAGAUGUUAAAAUCGUCGCUAUAUAAUCUAUAGCGACACUUUUCGUGUGAAAAUAUCAAAAACUGUUGUGAAAAUAUCAUUUAUCUUUUAAAAAUAUUGUAUCAUUCCAAACAAUUUAAACUAUAAUAAAAAAUUGAAAAAUAAAUUUUUAUUGGAAACUUUUUUUUACAAUAAGUUUUUGGGUCAUAAGGAGUACUAAACUAUUAUAAUAUAUAUGUGGAAUGUAUGUUAUUUAAUAGAUGUAUGCUAUUUAAGAGAUAUAUAUUUUAGAUCCGUUUUAUAUUUAUAUAUGGGAAAAAUAUAUAUACACAGCUGUGUAAUACACAGACGUUUAUGACAAUGAUUUUUUAAAACUAUAGAUAUUAUGGUCUAUGACGUCGAUUCAUAGCUCAAAAAAUCGUCGCCAUAACGACUAUAUAUAUAAAUGGAAAGUGGUUAGCAUGAAGUUAACUUUGGUCAAUUGAUCCGAUACACAGACGAAAAGUGAUCUAUAUUUGCGUGUCAGCACUGUAUUGAUUAAUUGACUAAUUUACUACUACCUCCAUCCCAUAAUAAGUGAUUUUUUAGCUUAAAUCACACAUACCAAUACACAAGCUAAAAUGACAAAAAUACCCUUAAUAUAUUUUCUUUGAAGUUGAAGAGUUAAUGAGUGUCAUUUAAUUGUAGUGAUAGUAAGAUGCAAUAAAUACCAUUGAAUGCAUAAGGGCAUAUAUGAGAAAAUAUUACAAAAAUUAUAUUGAAAUUCUAACACAUAACUUAUUUUGGAAAAAGAUAUUAAGCUUUAAAAAGCACUUAUUUUACGGAUCCGGUUAACAUGAAGUAAUUUUUUUUGAUAAGUUGGUCAAUUGACCAAUAGAAUACUGACACACAUACAACCUCACCUGCGUGUCAGUAUUCUAUUAGUCAAUUGACCAACUUACCCCAAAAUUAACUUCAUACUAACCAUUUCCUUAUUUUUACCAUCCCUUCCCCAGUUAUGUACUCUGUAUACAAAUGUAUCCAUUCCCCAGUUAUACCCUUAUUUUAUCCACUUGCACACCAACUCACUUGUUUUUCACUACAUCAAUGCUUUCAUAUUUUCUCCACAUUUAACAUCAUCCACCAUAAUAGUUGGGCAUGUCCCAAUAGUAUGUAUCAAAAGUUAUUUCUUAUCAUUCGCUUAAACUAUCACUAAUCAUAUUUUAUUUAACGUCAAAAUAAAUUGAAAUGAAAUAAAAAAAAAUAAACAAGUCGAUAAACUUAAUAUAAAUAUUGAAAAACCAAUCUUCACUCGUGAACAUCAUUUGGAUUGAGGCACAAGUCCAUGUCACCAUCAAAACUCCAGAAACCUUACGGGUAGACCACCCACGUCACCCGCUGAAACUUCCAGCCUGGCAAGCCCUUCCCCACCCAACCACCUCCUCCCACGUGUGCUGACUCCCUCUCCCCUUCUUCUACAGCUGUUACCUCUCACUCAUUUCCCAUUUUUCCCCCACUAUAAAAACCCUAUUUGCCCCCACUCAUCUUCCCCAAACCAUUCUCUCUCCUCCCUCUCAAUUUCAUAACAAUGGCUUCUAAUUACAGUUUUGCCGCUCUCUUUUCAAGUCUGCUUCUUUUCACCACCAUUUUCGGACCCACCAUCGCUUCUUCCAGAAAACUCACGGCUUUAGUUCAAGAACAACCGCUGACAAUGAAGUACCAUAACGGUGCACUUCUCAAAGGCAACAUCACCGUUAAUCUCAUCUGGUACGGAAAGUUCACCCCAAUUCAACGCUCCAUAAUCGUUGACUACCUCCAGUCCAACUCCUUCCGCCGGGCCCCACUUCCCUCCGUCGCGUCAUGGUGGAAAACCACCGAGAAAUACCAUGGAGGCACAUCCACCCUCGUUGUAGGGAAGCAAAUCCUCGACGAAAACUAUUCUCUAGGCAAGUCCCUCAAGAAUUCUCAUAUUAUACUUCUGGCCUCCAAAGCCGACCACGUGAGCUCCGUCAAUAUAGUCUUGACGGCCAAAGACGUUGCCGUUGACGGGUUUUGUAUGAACCGGUGUGGAACCCACGGGUCAACCAGGGGGAACACCCGGUUUGCUUAUGCUUGGGUUGGAAACUCGGAGACCCUGUGUCCCGGUCAGUGCGCUUGGCCGUUCCACCAGCCGAUUUACGGCCCACAGAACCCGCCUUUAGUCGCACCUAACGGAGACGUCGGAGUUGACGGAAUGAUCAUCAACUUGGCCACCGUUUUGGCGGGAGCCGUGACGAAUCCGUUCAACAACGGGUACUUCCAGGGACCGGCGACGGCGCCGUUGGAGGCCGUUUCUGCCUGUACUGGGGUAUUCGGGUCAGGAUCGUAUCCGGGCUAUCCGGGAAAUGUGUUGGUGGAUAAGGCCACCGGGGCGAGCUAUAAUGCGUACGGAGCGAACGGGAGGAAAUACUUGCUUCCGGCCAUGUGGGACCCGAAAACGUCAACAUGCUCAACGCUGGUCUGAAGGUGGAGGAGGAAGAGGAGAGGGAAGGGGAUUUUGUUGGAUGUAUACGUAUAAGUCUAUAGAUAGAGUGGUGUUUGGAUAGAGUUCUGUUGUGGGGCCGAGCAAUGGUUCAAUCCAGAGUUUGUCGUUUUGUGUGACAUGGAAAUUCCACUUGGGAAGUCCAAAUAUUGGGAGAAAAAAAAAGUAGUAUAUUAUGAGAAGGAUAAAUAAUAGUCGUAUAUAUUUUGUAGAAACUGUUUGAAUUUAUAAAAUUAUUACUAGUACUACUUUUACUACUACUA